UUUUGGGGCAGUGUUUACUGACUCUUCUUCUCUGCCUCCGCCCUCCUCUUGGCCAGGGUUGCGAGCCUCUUCUAUUUUCCAGCCAGACCCGGAAAAACGAAAACACAGCUUGGGGAGCCCCCACUAGCCGGCGCCUGUGCCAGCUCACCUCUGCCCAUAGCGCAGCUGCGGGUGCACACAGCCGCCAAGGCCAGCUCCGCCGGCUUCCCUCCCCCUCCCACUUUACCGGAGCCGAGAACCCUGCGGAAGGGCCUCAGCUCCACAGACUGCCAAAGUCGACUGGGUCCCUCCUCACCAAAAAUGGUGAGACAAUAUUCCAUCUUGUCCACCGAGAAGCCUCAAGCAG
rnacentral:lncRNA from 1 species